GGAUCAUGAAUUGGAAAGUUGAUCUUGUAUUCAUUAUGAAUUGACUCAAGACCGAGUCGAGUGGCAAAGUUGGCUAAGGUAAAUGUAACCUUAGGAAAGAGUGAUAAUUGAGAAAGACUUGUUAAUGUUAUAAAGAAUGGCAAAUGUGUAUGAUGAGCCUAAGGCGCGAGUGCCCUUAGUAAAGGAUAAAGAACAAAGAAUAAAGUAUAAAGAAUAAAGAAUGAAGAAUGAAGAAUAAAGAUUAAAGAAUAAAGAAUGGCUAAUGAUAAAGAAUUGCAUAUUCUAAAGAAAGGCUAAUGGUAAAGAAUGACUAAGAGUUGCAUAAUUUGCAUAUUUGUGAGGCAUGAACAUGUAUUGCAUGAUGUUAUAUAUAUAUAUAUAUCUGUUGGACUAACAUGUUGCAGUGCCUCCUUUGGACCUGGUGGGUUGAGCUUUUCACUUGGGUGGCUGUACCCACUGACGACUAUGGACAAUAGUCUCACCCCCGUGUUGUUGUUUUUGGGGGUACAGGUUCACACGCGAGCGGCGCGGCGGCGCGAGGAAAGGGCGUAGCUCCGUAGUUAGCGCCCUACCACAGAGACCAGAUAGCAGCACCCUGAGUCGGCUUCUUAGGGGUAUAAGAAAAGAAAAGAAAAGAAUCGAUGUUGUAAUAUUAUGUUUAGAAAUCGAUUGUAUAUUUGGAAAUUGAGAAUCAAUGUAAUGAAAAAUGCGAUGUAAAAUGAUGAGAUGAAUGAUUGUAAUAAUAUAGGAUGUGUUAUGUUGUUUGGUACCUUCCUUAUGCAAUCGUUGUUGAUAAUUGUUCCUGUUUGGAACCUCUUGUAAUUGUAUUGAUUGCGACGCCUUGAACGUACAGGGGAGAUUCUGUCCGCGUGCAGGGGAAACCCUGUCCGUUCGGCGGUCUGUUGGCGUGCCCGAAUCCGACCAAAGAGGCGGGCUCGGGGCG
rnacentral:lncRNA from 1 species